CUGCAUUCCACAAAUUUUAAUAUAUGUUACUCCAUUAUGUUCAAAGUAUCUACGAAAGUCCAUGUAAUUUCUCUUACCCAAAUAUUAUUUGGUAGUGUAUUUCCUAAUUUCCAAGUAUAUGAUAAUUGUCUAAUUAUUUUUGUUAAUGAUUUCUAGCUUAAUUUCUCUUAUAUUUUUUGGGUCUUUCGUGGCUCAACAUCUAAUCUUUUUGUAAAUAUUAAAUGUGUAUUUGAGAAGAAUGUGAAUUCUGCCAUUCUUGAUGCUAGUAUUCUGUGUACAUCCAUUAGGUGAAGUUUCUUAUUGUGUAGCUCAAAUUGUCUGUAUCCUUAUCGAGUUUUGUUUUAUUUUCUUGACCUAUUAGUUAGUGCCUGAAAGUCUCCCAAGAUGAUUGUCAAUUUUUCAAUGUUUCUAUUUUGCCAAUUUUUGUUUUAUCUAUUUUGAGGCUAUAUUAUUAGUUUUAUAUAAUACAAAUUUAGAAUUCUUACCCAUCUGAUAUAAUGGUUUAUUAUACUCCCUGAUUUAAUGAAUUUUUAGUCAUUAAAAAAAUGUCUUUCUUUGGCA